rnacentral:rRNA from 1 species
AUGUCGUGCGACGGCGACGAGGAAGAGCGCCCCGUCCUUACCUCGACGCUGCCGCCUCAGGUGAAAGUGAAAAUCGAAUCCCCCGACGAGGUCGAUGUGAAGAUGGGGCCAUUCCAUCCCGACUCCGACGAGGUGAUUAUGAAGGUCGAGGCCCACGGUGGGAUCGAGGUCAAGAGGGAGCGAACCCAUGCCGACCACGGCGAGGUGAAGGUUGAAGCCGCCGGCGAGGUCGAGGCAAAGAGGGAGCCAAUCGAUGCGGACUCCGACAAGGUGAAGCUUGAAUCUCCCGCCGUGGUCGAGGCCAAGAUCAAGAGGGAGCCAAUCGAUGCCGACAUCAAGCAUGGCCGGGUCAAGAAGGAGGAGCAACCCGACGAGAUCAAGGUCCCGGUAAAGGAGGAACGACGCAAAACUGCGUCGCCGCGCCAUGUAAAGGAGGAAGAGGAGGAUGACUCUAGUGAAGACGAGGUGGAGAUCAUUGACCCCCCGCCGAAGUCCAAGAAGAGAAACCGCGGAGACGAGGACGACGUAGUCUUCAUCGAUCUCACGACGUCCCGCCCGGCGCCUUACCUGAACCCAAAGCCCAUCCGGGCAAUGCCGCCGGCGGGGGCCACGCCAGUGAGCGAUUGGAAGAUGGUUGUGGCGCCGCAGCCGGCGGAGCUGGACGAGUACCCACCGGACCACCGCGAAUGGGUCUUCUUCACAAAGUCCUAUGCCACCGGGCUGUCCACUUGUCGCGGGAGGAAGUGGCUGGACGCCGGCGAGGUCGUCCACUUCGCCUUCCCUUCGCACGAAGGCAGGAUCAGGGUGUCGUACAGGCAGGCGGUGGCGCUGGCAGAGAUCGUGCGCUUCUCGACAAACCGAGCUGGAGAGAUCGGGAAGUUGUCUCCGGAGUGGGCGAGGUGCCUUGCCCCGCUGGUGAGUUCUUCCAAGGUUAUGAUCCAGGGGAAGAUGGUGUUUCCGAUGAUGGAGCUCAGGCUGAUGCAGGAGGUGUUGCUGUAUGUCAGCUUCUACAUCCACCGCUCGUCCUUGUACCUGAUUUCUCCUAAAAAUGAAUGUCAUCCAAACAAUCCCCUCCGCGGCCUCUUCAAGUUGCUUCGGCGAUUCGGCGUAGCUGAAGCCUGA